GCCUGGGUGGCUCAGGGGUUGAGCAUCUGCCUUUAGCUCAGGGCAUAAUCCCAGGGUCAUGGGAUCGAAUCCCACGUCAGGCU
rnacentral:tRNA from 1 species